UAGUCCACGCAGUAAACGAUGAGUGCUAAACUUUGGGAAUUUUAUUUUCAAUAUUGAAGCUAACGCGUUAAGCACUCCGCCUGGGGAGUACGGUCGCAAGACUAAAACUCAAAGGAAUUGACGGGGGCCUGCACAAGCGGUGGAGCAUGCGGUUUAAUUCGAUGUCACGCGAAAAACCUUACCAACCCUUGACAUGUUGGUUGUAGAAAACAGAGAUGUAUUCUUUCAGUUCGGCUGGACCAAACACAGGUGUUGCACGGCUGUCGUCAGCUCGUGUCGUGAGAUGUUGGGUUAAGUCCCGCAACGAGCGCAACCCCUACUUUUAUUUGCCAUCAGGUAAUGCUGGGGACUAUAAAAGAACUGCUAGUGUAAGCUAGAGGAAGGUGGGGGCGACGUCAUGUCAUCAUGGCCCUUAUGGGUUGGGCUACACGCGUGCUACAAUGGUAACUACAGAGAGCAGCAAGGCGGAGACGCGGAGCCAAUCUUCAAAGUUAUCUCAGUUCGGAUUGGACU
rnacentral:rRNA from 1 species